GACGAACGCUGGCGGCGUGCUUAACACAUGCAAGUCGAGCGGAAAGGCCCUUUCGGGGGUACUCGAGCGGCGAACGGGUGAGUAACACGUGAGUAAUCUGCCCAUGGCUUUGGGAUAGCCACCGGAAACGGUGAUUAAUACCGAAUACGACCACUUCUCGCAUGGGAUGGUGGUGGAAAGUUUUUCGGCCAGGGAUGUGCUCGCGGCCUAUCAGCUUGAUGGUGAGGUAAUGGCUCACCAUGGCUUCGACGGGAAGCCGGCCUGAGAGGGUGACCGGUCACACUGGGACUGAGACACGGCCCAGACUCCUACGGGAGGCAGCAGUGGGGAAUAUUGGACAAUGGGCGGAAGCCUGAUCCAGCAACGCCGCGUGAGGGAUGACGGCCUUCGGGUUGUAAACCUCUUUCAGCAGGGACGAAGCGCAAGUGACGGUACCUGCAGAAGAAGCACCGGCCAACUACGUGCCAGCCGCCGCCGUAAGAC
rnacentral:rRNA from 1 species